CGCUCGGAUCACGUUGCGAAGAUGCUACUUUCGGCGGGCCCAGCAACCGCAUUUAGAGGCACAGAAACAAUGCUGCUAAGGGUUAAUAGACUUGGAAUGAAACUAGAGACUUCUAAUUUAUUCUUGUGCAGUAGGAGAGGCGUUGUGUACAGAUUGAGAGGAAUAAUAGAUUAGAAGAUGGAUCACGGAAAGUCAAAGAUAGGACCAUUCUCACCGUGAAAGGCCUAGCUGACAGUCAGUAGUUUGCAUUCUGGAUUGGAUGUGGAGUAGAGAAUUGGAAAAUCUCUCAAGAGAGACACCAUACUCUUUCCAAUCCGUACAAAGUACCAUGGCUCCGAGAUGAGCACCAGCAGAAUGUCCACAGAGGUAAACACCACUGCAAAACAAGCAAAAGAAGAGGAGUAUAAACAUUUGGUGAAUUGUGUCAGAACAGUAAUCAGCUCUAUAUUUCCCGCUCUGUGCACUUUUGGCAGGGAACAGUUUAUUCAGAAGACAAUUUAAACUGCAUUUUUUUCUGCUGGACGUCAACCUCUUAACAAUUCAAAGUUGUGCAAGCAUGUUUUGUCCUGGUGGAUUCUGACAUCAACAUUGAAUUCUACUCAAGUGUAUCCUUUUUUUAUGGGAGAGUUUUUAAACAGUGACUGGAUGUUAGUGGGUAGUGGAGCGUGGGAUUUGCUCCCUCUUGCUAUAUAAUCUUGAUAGAAAAUAAAUCUCUGGAAUUGAUCAAUUUGAGUACAGCUUUACUUGCAGCUGCUCUUGCCUUCAGGGAUCCAUCACUG